rnacentral:rRNA from 1 species
GACGAACGCUGGCGGCGUGCAUAACACAUGCAAGUCGAACGGAAAGGCCCUGCUUUUGUGGGGUGCUCGAGUGGCGAACGGGUGAGUAACACGUGAGUAACCUGCCCUUGACUUUGGGAUAACUUCAGGAAACUGGGGCUAAUACCGGAUAGGAGCUCCUGCUGCAUGGUGGGGGUUGGAAAGUUUCGGCGGUUGGGGAUGGACUCGCGGCUUAUCAGCUUGUUGGUGGGGUAGUGGCUUACCAAGGCUUUGACGGGUAGCCGGCCUGAGAGGGUGACCGGCCACAUUGGGACUGAGAUACGGCCCAGACUCCUACGGGAGGCAGCAGGGGGGAAUAUUGCACAAUGGGCGGAAGCCUGAUGCAGCAACGCCGCGUGCGGGAUGACGGCCUUCGGGUUGUAAACCGCUUUCGCCUGUGACGAAGCGUGAGUGACGGUAAUGGGUAAAGAAGCACCGGCUAACUACG